rnacentral:rRNA from 2 species
AGGUUAAGUUAACAAGGGCGCAUGGUGAAUGCCUUGGCACUAGGAGCCGAUGAAGGACGGGACUAACACCGAUAUGCUUCGGGGAGCUGUACGUAAGCUAUGAUCCGGAGAUUUCCGAAUGGGGCAACCCAGCAGUUUUAAUCAACUGUUACCACUAGAUGAAUUCAUAGUCUAGUUGGAGGUAAACGCUGUGAACUGAAACAUCUCAUUAGCAGCAGGAAUAUAAAGAAAUUUCGAUUCCCUAAGUAGCGGCGAGCGAACGGGGAACAGCCCAAACCAAAGUGCUUGCACUUUGGGGUUGUAGGACUGAACAUUUGAGUUACCAAAGAACUUGAUAGUCGAAGGAUUUGGGAAAAUCCGCCAUAGAUGGUGAUAGCCCAGUAGAUUAAAUCAAAUUCUCUCAGUUCAGGAUCCUGAGUACGGCGGAACACGUGAAAUUCCGUCGGAAUCCGGGAGGACCAUCUCCCAAGGCUAAAUACUACCUAGUGACCGAUAGUGAACCAGUACCGUGAGGGAAAGGUGAAAAGCACCCCGGGAGGGGAGUGAAAUAGUUCCUGAAACCAUGUGCCUACAAUAAGUCAGAGCGCGUUAAUGCGUGAUGGCGUGCCUUUUGUAGAAUGAACCGGCGAGUUAUGAUCCCGUGCAAGGUUAAGACUAAAAAGUCGGAGCCGUAGCGAAAGCGAGUCUGAAAUGGGCGUUUUGAGUACGAGGUUAUAGACCCGAAACCAGGUGACCUAUCCAUGUCCAGGUUGAAGGUGCGGUAAAACGCACUGGAGGACCGAACCCGUGUAAGUUGAAAAUUGCUGGGAUGAGGUGUGGAUAGCGGUGAAAUUCCAAACGAACUUGGAGAUAGCUGGUUCUCUCCGAAAUAGCUUUAGGGCUAGCCUCGGAAUUAGGAUCAUGGAGGUAGAGCACUAUUUGGACUAGGGGCCCGUCUUGGGUUACUGAAUUCAGAUAAACUCCGAAUGCCAUUGAUUCAUAUCCGGGAGUCAGACGAUGAGUGAUAAGAUCCACCGUCGAAAGGGGAACAGCCCAGACCAUCAGUUAAGGUCCCUAAAUGUAUGCUAAGUGGAAAAGGAUGUGGAGUUGCAUAGACAACUAGGAUGUUGGCUCAGAAGCAGCCACCAUUUAAAGAGUGCGUAAUAGCUCACUAGUCGAGUGAUCCUGCGCCGAAAAUGUACCGGGGCUAAGCAUACUACCGAAACCAUGGAUGCGACCAUUAGGUCGCGUGAUAGGAGAGCGUUCUAAGGGCGGUGAAGCAAGAUCGUGAGGACUUGUGGAGCGCUUAGAAGUGAGAAUGCCGGUAUGAGUAGCGAAAGAUAGGUGAGAAUCCUAUCCACCGAAUGACUAAGGUUUCCUGGGGAAGGCUCGUCCUCCAGGGUUAGUCGGGACCUAAGUCGAGGCCGAGAGGCGUAGACGAUGGAUAACAGGUUGAGAUUCCUGUACUAGUUAAGUGCGUUUGAGCAAUGGAGGGACGCAGGAGGCUAAGAUGUGCAUUCUGUUGGAUUAGAAUGUCCAAGCAGUAAGUCUUGUGAAGAGUCAAAUGCUUUUCACUUUAAGGACAAGCUGUGAUGGGGAGCGAAAUUUAGUAGCGAAGCGUCUGAUGUCACACUGCCGAGAAAAGCUUCUAGUGAGUACUUAACUACCCGUACCGCAAACCGACACAGGUAGUCGAGGAGAGAAUCCUAAGGUGAGCGAGUGAACUCUCGUUAAGGAACUCGGCAAAAUGACCCCGUAACUUCGGGAGAAGGGGUGCUGAUCGCAAGAUCAGCCGCAGUGAAUAGGCCCAGGCGACUGUUUAUCAAAAACACAGGUCUCUGCAAAAUCGUAAGAUGACGUAUAGGGGCUGACGCCUGCCCGGUGCUGGAAGGUUAAAAGGAUGGGUUAGCUUCGGCGAAGCUCAGAAUUGAAGCCCCAGUAAACGGCGGCCGUAACUAUAACGGUCCUAAGGUAGCGAAAUUCCUUGUCGGGUAAGUUCCGACCCGCACGAAAGGCGUAACGAUCUGGGCACUGUCUCAACGAGAGACUCGGUGAAAUUAUAUUGUCCGUGAAGAUGCGGACUACCCGCGACAGGACGGAAAGACCCCAUGGAGCUUUACUGUAGCUUGAUAUUGAGUGUUUGUACAGCUUGUACAGGAUAGGUAGGAGCCAUAGAAACCGGAACGCUAGUUUCGGUGGAGGCGUUGGUGGGAUACUACCCUCGCUGUAUGACCACUCUAACCCGCACCACUAAUCGUGGUGGGAGACAGUGUCAGGUGGGCAGUUUGACUGGGGCGGUCGCCUCCUAAAAAGUAACGGAGGCGCCCAAAGGUUCCCUCAGAAUGGUUGGAAAUCAUUCGCAGAGUGUAAAGGCACAAGGGAGCUUGACUGCGAGACAGACAGGUCGAGCAGGGACGAAAGUCGGGCUUAGUGAUCCGGUGGUACCGUAUGGAAGGGCCAUCGCUCAACGGAUAAAAGCUACCCUGGGGAUAACAGGCUUAUCUCCCCAAGAGUCCACAUCGACGGGGAGGUUUGGCACCUCGAUGUCGGCUCAUCGCAUCCUGGGGCUGUAGUCGGUCCCAAGGGUUGGGCUGUUCGCCCAUUAAAGCGGUACGCGAGCUGGGUUCAGAACGUCGUGAGACAGUUCGGUCCCUAUCCGUCGCGGGCGUAGGAAAUUUGAGAGGACCUGUCCUUAGUACGAGAGGACCGGGAUGGACAUACCUCUGGUGUACCAGUUGUGCCGCCAGGCGCAUCGCUGGGUAGCUACGUAUGGAUGUGAUAAACGCUGAAAGCAUCUAAGUGUGAAACACACCUCGAGAUGAGAUUUCCCAUUCCUUUAUGGAAGUAAGACCCCUGAAAGAUGAUCAGGUAGAUAGGUUAGAAGUGGCAGUGCGGUGACGCAUGAAGCGGACUAAUACUAAUCGGUCGAGGACUUAACCAAG